rnacentral:rRNA from 1 species
GCCCUUCGCAAAUUACCCACUCUCAGAACGCGGAGGUAGUGACGAAAAAUAACGAGGUGGCUCUCUAUGAGGUCCAUCAUCGGAAUGGGUACAAUUUAAAUCCUUUAACGAGGAUCUAUUGGAGGGCAAGUCUGGUGCCAGCAGCCGCGGUAAUUCCAGCUCCAAUAGCGUAUACUAAAGUUGUUGCGGUUAAAAAGCUCGUAGUUGGAUCUGCGCCCGGUGAAAGCGGUCGCCCGAUGGGUUGUUACUGCUUCUCCCGGGCUAACCAUUCGGUUUUCCCUUGAUGCUCUUAACUGAGUGCCCUGGGUGACCGGAACGUUUACUUUGAAAAAAUUAGAGUGCUCAAAACAGGCGAUUUGCCAGAAUAUUCGUGCAUGGAAUAAUAAAAGAGGUCCUUGUAGCCUUUUAUUGGUUAUCGCUACGAGGAAAUGAUCGAAGGGGACAGACGGGGGCAUUUGUAUUGCGACGUUAGAGGUGAAAUUCUUGGAUCGUNGCAAGACAAACUACUGCGAAAGCAUUUGCCAAGAAUNUUUUUAUUCAAUCAAGAACGAAAGUNUGAGGGUUCGACAGCGAUCANAUACCCGCUUUAGUUCAANACCGUAAACGAUUCCUUUUGGCGGAUNCCCCCGGCGUUUUUUUUUGACUCCGUGGGGCAGCCNCCGNUAAACCUUUAAGUCNGGGUUCCCGGGGGGAAGNU